GGGAAGGAACACCAGUGGCGAAAGCGGCUUUGCUGGAUCGUAACUGACGUUGAGGCUCGAAAGUAUGGGUAGCAAACGGGAUUAGAUACCCCGGUAGUCCAUACCGUAAACGAUGGGUGCUAGUUGUUAAGAGGUUUCCGCCUCCUAGUGACGUAGCAAACGCAUUAAGCACCCCGCCUGAGGAGUACGGCCGCAAGGCUAAAACUUAAAGGAAUUGACGGGGACCCGCACAAGCGGUGGAGCAUGUGGUUUAAUUCGA
rnacentral:rRNA from 1 species